rnacentral:rRNA from 1 species
UGCAAGUCGAACGGAGCUUCUAGCUUUUUCGGAAGCUUAGUGGUGAAAGGGUGAGUAACACGUGGGUUACCUGCCCUAGGGAUUGGGAUAACCUGUCGAAAGACGGGCUAAUACCGAAUACGUCCUAUACUUUUCGAAGUAUAGGGGAAAGAUGGGGAUCCGUAAGGACCUAUCACCCUUGGAUGGGCCCGCGGCCUAUCAGCUAGUUGGUGAGGUAAUGGCUCACCAAGGCUAAGACGGGUAGCUGGUCUGAGAGGAUGGUCAGCCACACUGGGACUGAGACACUGCCCAGACACCUACGGGUGGCUGCAGUCGAGAAUCUUUCGCAAUGGGGGCAACCCUGACGACGCGACGCCGCGUGGAGGAUGAAGGUCUUCGGAUUGUAAACUCCUGUCAGCUGGGGAGAACAAGUUACCGGUGAACAAUCGGUAGCCUUGACAGUACCAGCAGAGGAAGCCACGGCUAACUCUGUGCCAGCAGCCGCGGUAAUACAGAGGUGGCAAGCGUUGUUCGGAUUUAUUGGGCGUAAAGGGUCCGUAGGCGGCCUGAAAAGUCGGAUGUGAAAUCCCACAGCUCAACUGUGGAACUGCAUUCGAAACUUUCAGGCUCGAGUGUGAUAGGGGUAAAGGGAAUUCCCGGUGUAAGAGUGAAAUCUGCAGAGAUCGGGAGGAACACCAGUCGCGAAGGCGCUUUACUGGAU